UACGUAGGGUGCGAGCGUUGUCCGGAAUUAUUGGGCGUAAAGAGCUUGUAGGCGGUUUGUCGCGUCUGCUGUGAAAAUCCGGGGCUCAACCCCGGACUUGCAGUGGGUACGGGCAGACUGGAGUGUGGUAGGGGAGACUGGAAUUCCUGGUGUAGCGGUGAAAUGCGCAGAUAUCAGGAGGAACACCGGUGGCGAAGGCGGCAUCCUGGACCGGCAUUGACGCUGAGGCGCGAAAGCCAGGGGAGCAAACGGG
rnacentral:rRNA from 1 species